UAGCAUGGCUAACACAUGCAAGUCGAACGGACCUUCGGGGUUAGUGGCGGACGGGUGAGUAACACGUGGGAACGUGCCUUUAGGUUCGGAAUAGCUCCUGGAAACGGGUGGUAAUGCCGAAUGUGCCCUUCGGGGGAAAGAUUUAUCGCCUUUAGAGCGGCCCGCGUCUGAUUAGCUAGUUGGUGAGGUAACGGCUCACCAAGGCGACGAUCAGUAGCUGGUCUGAGAGGAUGACCAGCCACACUGGGACUGAGACACGGCCCAGACUCCUACGGGAGGCAGCAGUGGGGAAUCUUGCGCAAUGGGCGAAAGCCUGACGCAGCCAUGCCGCGUGAAUGAUGAAGGUCUUAGGAUUGUAAAAUUCUUUCACCGGGGACGAUAAUGACGGUACCCGGAGAAGAAGCCCCGGCUAACUUCGUGCCAGCAGCCGCGGUAAUACGAAGGGGGCUAGCGUUGCUCGGAAUUACUGGGCGUAAAGGGCGCGUAGGCGGAUCGUUAAGUCAGAGGUGAAAUCCCAGGGCUCAACCCUGGAACUGCCUUUGAUACUGGCGAUCUUGAGUAUGAGAGAGGUAUGUGGAACUCCGAGUGUAGAGGUGAAAUUCGUAGAUAUUCGGAAGAACGCCAGUGGCGAAGGCGACAUACUGGCUCAUUACUGACGCUGAGGCGCGAAAGCGUGGGGAGCAAACAGGAUUAGAUACCCCUGAUAGUCCACGCCGUAAACGAUGAUUGCUAGUUGUCGGGCUGCAUGCAGUUCGGUGACGCAACUAACGCAUUAAGCAAUCCGCCUGGGG
rnacentral:rRNA from 1 species